GGUAACUCCGGUGAAGCGGCCGCGGGAAGACGGAGGUUGCAAGCGUUAAGCGGAAUAACUGAGCGGAGAGCGGUCGCAGGCGGUUAGAUAAGUCAGAUGUGAGUGCCACUGGCUCAAGCUGGUAACUGCAUUUGAAACGGUCUGACUAGAGUCUUGUAGAGGGGGGUAGAAUUCCAGGUGUAGCGGUGAAAUGCGUAGAGAUCUGGAGGAAUAGCGGUGGCGAAGGCGGCCCCCUGGACAGAGACUGACGCUCAGGUGCGAAAGCUUGGGGAGCAAACAGGAUUAGAUACCCCGGUAUUC
rnacentral:rRNA from 1 species